AAAUCGCAAAUCAAAUCGCAAUAUGUCAAAAAAAAUUGCAAUUUGAUAUUUUCCCCCAAAUCACACAGCCCUAGUUUGUACCAGAUGUUGUUG